GGUGGCCAUGGAAGUCGGAAUCCCCUAAGGAGUGUGUAACAACUCACCAACCGAAUGAAUUAGCCCUGAAAAUGGAUGGCGCUUAAACGUAUUACUUAUACUCAACCGUUAAAUUAAAUGCAAAAAUUUAACGAGUAGGAGGGCGUAUUGAUAGUAUUGAAGAUUAUCAGUGAUGGUAAUUAGAACUAUCUUUAGUGCAGAUCUUGGUGGUAGUAGGAAAUAUUCAAAUGAGAACUUUGA
rnacentral:rRNA from 1 species